rnacentral:lncRNA from 1 species
GGAGAAAAGCUUAUUUUCUUAAAAAUAAAUACCAAGGCUGCUAUAGAGAAUCCCAAAAAUACUUCCGUAACUCGAAUGCAAAAUGUUGGUAUUUAUAGGAAUGAAUUUGGGUUCUUGGCUCAAGUUUUAGCGGGAUUUCAAGAAUCAAAUUAGUCAUUUUGAAUUCAAAAUUCAUCUCUGAACUUACUCUGUCCAAAUCGCAGAAGUCUCUUG